rnacentral:rRNA from 1 species
UACGUAGGGUGCAAGCGUUGUCCGGAAUUAUUGGGCGUAAAGCGCGUGUAGGCGGUCCGGUAAGUCCGCUGUGAAAGUCGGGGGCUUAACCCUCGGAUGCCGGUGGAUACUGUCGGGCUUGAGUACGGAAGAGGCGAGUGGAAUUCCUGGUGUAGCGGUGAAAUGCGCAGAUAUCGUAAGGAAGACCAGUGGCGAAGGCGGGUCUCUGGACAGUUCCUGACGCUGAGGCACGAAGGCCAGGGGAGCAAACGGG